rnacentral:tRNA from 1 species
GCCAAGAUAAUUUAAUUAAAUGCUAGACUGUGACUCUAGAAAUAUAGGUUCAAACCCUUUUCCUGGCC